CACUCGCUUCCUCCCUCGCUGAACCUUAUAACUGCCUACAGGCUUGUCGGUUCCAUUACGUCAGGCGCCCUCUUAGGUUUCAUCGGGGCAGAAGUCCUUUGCUGCAUCAUCAGAUUGUAUUAUGGAGACAACAGAGUACAAGACUGGGAUAUCUCAUUAGUUCCAAUGACUAUACUAACUGCUGUUCAAACCACAUGUUUUAUAAUAUUUCACAAGUUCCUUUAGACCGUAGACAAAGCAAAUAAAAGAAGACAUACCUAAAAGCAGAUGGUCUCCUCCUGAGAGGAUAU